rnacentral:rRNA from 10 species
CCGACCUGAACUCAGACGUGACU